UCCUCAGCCUGAGUCAGGCAGAAGUGAAGGAACAGGCUAGUGGUCCUCAACAUCUGGUUCUGGGCCCCGCAUCACUGUCUGAAAAUGUGUUAGAAAUGCAGACCUUGGGCCCCACCCCAGACCUACUGAAUGAGAAACUCUGGGUGAUUCCAAAACAUGCUCAACUUUGAGAACCACUGGACUAAUUGAAAACUCCCUGGUGUUUGUUUCCUCCAGCCUGGUUCCCAGGGCCUCCAGCUCAUCAGCCGAGGCCCGCAUGUGGACAGGCACCCCCUCGUGUUCCGUCAAACUUGUAAAACACCUGAGUUUGUCGUCUGAGCUGCUCAGUUCCUGGUUUCUCUACGGCAUGGUGGCCGCAGCACCCACAAAUCUGUCACCCUAAGAGGUGCUAGAAGUUUAUGGGUCAUUUGGCCCAGCAUUAGAGGGAGACAGUGGAGGGAGAGGCUUGCUCUCUCUUGUAGCCCAGGCGUGCGUGUCCGUGUCCCUGUCCCAGCACUUGCCCCCAGCUCUAAGAUUUCAGUUAGGUUCAGGAAGGAUUAAAACCCAAGGGGAAAUCAGUGGCCAGAGUUUCCACUUUCCCAGUUGGAAGGCGUCACAGGCAGUUUGAAUUUCAAAACAGGAGCCUUCCAUUUGCAGUAUCACCCACGAAUGUCUCCAGUGGGCCUGCUGAAAUGUCACCGAGUGAAUCAUAGCAAUGACUUAUUUUGGAUGGAUACCUACUAAAGAUUUUCUUAACCCAAUUUCACCCUAAAAUAGGAGAAAACCCAUAUUCAAAGGCCACCCAUCAAAUACAUCUUUUUUUUCUCCUCAACAUUUUGUGGUCCUUUGAAGUAGCACUUCCCUAGUAACAAGGAAAAUUAAGUAUAUUCCCAGAGUGUUGGAGUUAGCAGAAAAAUGGCCCAGAAAACGUCCAAUGAAAUAAAAGAACAUGGAAACAGACAGAGUGUAGGUGGUUCAGAAUGCUUAAAACUAAUUGUGGUUUUGUUUCUCCUAGCUCAUUCUAUGCUUGCCUGUGACUCCUUUCCCACUUGUUAGGGUAAGACUCCUUAAGAGGCAACCAUGAGGUUCAUGAAGUUCAGUGUUGGUCACUAUGCCUAGCUGUGAACGUAGAUGCUAUUCCUUUGAUGUUCCCCAGGUUGCCUGGACACCUGUCCCCUUCUCGUGGUCCCAGACUCACCACCCCGACCAGGAACAUGGCCCUGCCCAUCUGUGUCCUUUCCUCUUCCCACAGGUUUUUCUCUGCUCUUAGCUGAUUCCAGUUAAAGCAUUCUGCAGGAGAAGAGGGAGCCCAACAGAGUACUAACCACAAAGACAAGGAACAAAUACCUGUCAGGGUGUGCACUUACCAGAGGGGACUUGAAUGGAUGAAAUUAUUACCUUUAAUUGUGGCUGACUACUCAAUACUGGACUUUAACCACGUUCAAACCAGGAACCUCUGAACUCCUGCUUCUUAUUCCCAGUAGAAGCAAGGAGCCACAGCCGAAGCGGAAAUGAUAGAAAACAUGGCCCAGCCCAAGUUGCAAGCUUCUGAUCUGCUUGAAGAGGGCCCAGAACAUUAAUGGGGAAUGGGAAAGCACUUGGCAACUACCCAAGGAAUUCUGGGGUCCUGAAGAAUCCAAGUUCACAAACCACUGGAGCAAGGUACAAAUGGGCAACCUCUGGAACCUCCUCGAAGGCCAGCUACCUGGCACCCCACGGCUACGUGGUGAGGCCACCCAAACACAGACUCCCCAGGCACAAGUGAGGAGUAGAUGGUUCUGACCCCAGAAGCUUCUAGCUACCACCUCCUGUGCAUAAAACCCACCCUGGAGGUGUGCGCGUGCACAGAAGCCACGAGGGUGUGGUCCAGAUGGCAGGACAUUAAUAUUAGUCCAAGUAGCCAGGGAAAGAAAAAAGAAAAA